rnacentral:rRNA from 1 species
GACGAACGCUGGCGGCGUGCUUAACACAUGCAAGUCGAACGGAAAGGCCCUGCUUUUGUGGGGUGCUCGAGUGGCGAACGGGUGAGUAACACGUGAGUAACCUGCCCUUGACUUUGGGAUAACUUCAGGAAACUGGGGCUAAUACCGGAUAGGAUCUCCUGCUGCAUGGUGGGGGUUGGAAAGUUUCGGCUGUUGGGGAUGGACUCGCGGCUUAUCAGCUUGUUGGUGGGGUAGUGGCUUACCAAGGCUUUGACGGGUAGCCGGCCUGAGAGGGUGACCGGCCACAUUGGGACUGCGAUACGGCCCAGACUCCUACGGGAGGCAGCAGUGGGGAAUAUUGCACAAUGGGCGGAAGCCUGAUGCAGCAACGCCGCGUGCGGGAUGACGGCCUUCGGGUUGUAAAACGCUUUCGCCUGUGACGAAGCGUGAGUGACGGUAAUGGGUAAAGAAGCACCGGCUAACUACGUG